UACGGAGGGUGCAAGCGUUAUCCGGAUUCACUGGGUUUAAAGGGUGCGUAGGCGGGCAGGUAAGUCAGUGGUGAAAUCUCCGAGCUUAACUCGGAAACUGCCGUUGAUACUAUUUGUCUUGAAUAUUGUGGAGGUAAGCGGAAUAUGUCAUGUAGCGGUGAAAUGCUUAGAUAUGACAUAGAACACCAAUUGCGAAGGCAGCUUACUACACAACGUUGACGCUGAGGCACGAAAAGCGUGGGGGAUCAAAACAGG
rnacentral:rRNA from 1 species